UUGCGCCUGCGAAGGACGCAGCAUCACUCGGAUAAUUGCCUUGCAGGCGGCAGAGUGAUGUCCCCGUCCGGUGAUCAGCAAUUUUGCUGAUUCAAAAUCAUUCC
rnacentral:sRNA from 12 species